UACGUAGGGUGCAAGCGUUGUCCGGAAUUAUUGGGCGUAAAGAGCUCGUAGGCGGUUCGUCGCGUCGGCUGUGAAAUCCCGGAGCUCAACUCCGGGUCUGCAGUCGAUACGGGCGGACUCGAGUUCGGCAGGGGAGACUGGAAUUCCUGGUGUAGCGGUGAAAUGCGCAGAUAUCAGGAGGAACACCAGUGGCGAAGGCGAUCACCUGGGGUUGUUCUGACGCUGAGGAGCGAAAGCUAGGGGAGCAAACGGG
rnacentral:rRNA from 1 species